UGAUACCAUUUGUGGCAUCCCGUAUGCUAAUUAAGGCAAAUGGGUGUCAAAUACAGAUUCAGAAUAACGAGUGCAUGAUAAAAUUUAUACCGUAGAACAAACUGAUUACAAAUCUCUUACAAACAUAUAUAUAUAUAUGAGUUCAAAUUACAUAUAUAUAAUUGAGGCCUGAAGUGGCUACAAAAGAAACAAAACACAAAAGAAAGCCACUUCUUUCACUAUUCUAUUGGACUCAUCAGAGUGCGAGAACAAUCAUGCAUUCAAAGUUUGUAGAUCGAUGGGAUCCUCAUAGACUUCCAAGGGUAGGUCAGCAUGCAGUUCUUUAUUCUCUUCCUCAUCUGGGGGGAUAGAAAGAGUGAGUUCUGUAUGCUUAGUAAGGAAAAUAAUAUUAAAUUAACAUCAUAAGAUUUAAAAGGUGAAUAAUUUUAACUUACAAGCUUACCAAUUGGCCUCCUUAUAGACUGAUCUUACAUUAUAAAAAUAAUUUAUUUAUUAAGAAUACAGUAUAUUAAUAUGAACAAAUCAAAUAUACAUCAUGCCAGAUAAUAGAGAAAAUUCAAUAAAUCAUGAAAUCCUCAAAUUUGCAUGUCAUGCUUCGCGAAGUCAUGACAACAUCCAUGUUUGAAGGCAGAUAUAGAUUUCUAACUACCCAAGUGAAAUGACCAGAUCAGAUAUAGAUAUAGGAACUUGCUCAAGCCCAUUUUUGACUGGCCAAACCAUGGCAUGAUCUAUGACCAUAGUUGUACAGACCGUAGUGGCCCUAACAGAUAUCUAUAGUCACCACAUUGCUUAGGCACAUGUGACCCCUAUAGAUAUUUGUAUUACCACUCGCGUCCGAGGUUACGCCGUCAUCCACUAGGAGCGAUCCUCUUACAUUUUUCCAGAACAGAUAGGAGAGAGGGAAACAGAUACCCUGAAGGACAAGGGGAACACAUACCCCUCCGAGAUAAAAAGUGUAACGAGACACUUGAUGCAAUAUGUAAGUUAAUACAAAUAUACUUCGGACCAAUCAUGCUUCAUUCCAUAUCGUUCUUUUUGUCUUCUUUUUGUACUCUUUAUUUUUACCGAUUACAUAUUAUAUUUAUUGCAUGCAAUUCAUCAAGUUUAUGCAAUUCAUAUAGUAUUCUUGAAAACAAAAACAAUUCGACUUAUCUGAACUAUGAACAAAAAGCAUACAAAAUAGGAAAAAUCAGAAUCAUCAUAUUUAAUAAUACUUGUUUAUCUAAAAAUACUCCUUAAUAUACCAAAAGAAAUACUAGAUUCCUUACCAAAACCUUGAUAUUUUCACCUUCACCAUUCUUCUUUCUUUCCAUCUUUCUCUCACUAGACACUAUCUCUCUCUCUC
rnacentral:lncRNA from 1 species